UACGUAGGUGGCAAGCGUUGUCCGGAUUUACUGGGCGUAAAGAGCGCGCAGGCGGUCAUUCAAGUCGAGUGUGAAAGCCCCCGGCUCAACUGGGGAGGGUCACUCGAUACUGUUUGACUCGAAGGCGGGAGAGGGAAGUGGAAUUCCCGGUGUAGUGGUGAAAUGCGUAGAUAUCGUGAGGAAUACCAGAGGCGAAGGCGGCUACCUGGACAAUUGCUGACGCUCAGGCACGAAAGCGUGGGGAGCAAAAGGG
rnacentral:rRNA from 1 species